rnacentral:rRNA from 1 species
GCAAGUCGAACGGCAGCACGGAGCAAUCCUGGGUGGCGGAGUGGGCGAACGGGUGAGUAAUAUAUCGGAACGUGCCCGGUCGUGGGGGAUAACGUAGCGAAAGCUACGCUAAUACCGCAUACGAUCUACGGAUGAAANCGGGGGAUCGCAAGACCUCGCGCGAUUGGAGCGGCCGAUAUCAGAUUAGGUAGUUGGUGAGGUAAAGGCUCACCAAGCCGACGAUCUGUAGCUGGUCUGAGAGGACGACCAGCCACACUGGGACUGAGACACGGCCCAGACUCCUACGGGAGGCAGCAGUGGGGAAUUUUGGACAAUGGGCGAAAGCCUGAUCCAGCAAUGCCGCGUGAGUGAUGAAGGCCUUCGGGUUGUAAACUGCUUUUGUACGGAACGAAACGGUGAGCUCUAAUACAGUUUGCUAAUGACGGUACCGUAAGAAUAAGCACCGGCUAACUACGUG